ensembl:lncRNA
CUUGCAGCUAUGUCAAGUGGCUACGGCGGAAGACACCGCAGCCUGGGAGCUCCAUGGACGUCGCCAUUCAAUACAUUCUGGGCCGAGACAAGGAGCGGUCGGCGGAGGCGGCUGCUACACCCCCUCCGCCCGCCAGCAGCAGCACCAGCAGCGGCCUCAGCACCACCACCAGCAAGGCCGCCACCGUGCUGCCACCCCUCAAGCGGACCGCUCCCAAUUUCUCGGCCCUUGUGCGGGGGCGUCCGAUGGGCCCAGGGGAGCUGCAGGCCCAGAUCAGGAAACUGAUGACCCCACCAGCACGGCCUGCAGCUCCAGCGGUGUCUUCCGUCAGAGACCAGCGUCCCUCGGUUCCGCCGCCCCCCACCACAGAGGUGACGGACGAGGAGCUGGUCCGGAUGGUCACUGACGUGGAAAUGGCUGGCGUACAGGUCCUUCAGGCCCUCCCGCUCCCGCUGGAGACGCCUCCGUCUCCACCUCCCCCGGCACCGUCCUCCACCCCACCACCACCCACCACCACCACCACCACCACCACCACCAGGUUGCGGCUGCUCCGCCGACGGUCGGGCUUCCUGCUCGGGCUCCGGCGCAGACCAGGGUGGAGCCUCGUGGCGUCUCCGUGGAGGAGACGCCGUGCGGGGAGGCCACCCUGGCACCGGAGCCCAAGAAGAAGAGGAGGAGGGUGACGACGGGCGACGCGGAGCAGCCGGCAACGCCCACUCCUGCUUGGGCUGAGACCCGGUUGCCUGAGGGCUGGCGGACAGCCCUCACCGGGGAAGAGCAGGAGUGGAUCGGCCGGGCGCUGUUUCAGCAGACCAGCGGGGGGUCCCUCAAGCUCACCACGGACCUCAAGCUGUGGUGGGACCCCCCCCAGCCCCGGCUGAACUAUUCUCAGCCACCCGCCUCGGCGGCUACCUUCUUCGCGUGUCGGUUGUUCCUCUGGGCGCCCCUGCACAUGUGGGGUCCCCGGCCGACAUGCUGCGAGAAGCAUCUCACCAAGUGUGGGAUGUACAAGACCAUCCGGAAGGUCUUGGACAUCGACGGCUGGUACUUGAUGGCCACCGAGUACCUGGAGUGCCGUCGGUGUCGGAGGAAGGUAGCCGCCUGGUCGCAGGAGGUCGUGAGGCAGCUGGGAGAGGGGCAUCGCGCCCUCUUCCCGGCGAUCCUCACCUACAAGCUUGCCUGCGACCGGCGGGUCAUCAUCCAGCUGCGUGAGCGUACUCGGGGGGGAACAGCGCCACGCAGCUGCAAAAAAAACUCUGUGAGGCACACACAGAGGCCUGGAUGCGGCGGUCCAUACACUACCUCAGCGUCAUGGAGCCCUUCACGUCGACGGGUGUCGUGCGCCAGUGCACCCCACCG